AUUGAACGCUGGCGGCAGGCCUAACACAUGCAAGUCGAGCGGAUGAAGGGAGCUUGCUCCUGGAUUCAGCGGCGGACGGGUGAGUAAUGCCUAGGAAUCUGCCUGGUAGUGGGGGAUAACGUCCGGAAACGGGCGCUAAUACCGCAUACGUCCUGAGGGAGAAAGUGGGGGAUCUUCGGACCUCACGCUAUCAGAUGAGCCUAGGUCGGAUUAGCUAGUUGGUGGGGUAAAGGCCUACCAAGGCGACGAUCCGUAACUGGUCUGAGAGGAUGAUCAGUCACACUGGAACUGAGACACGGUACAGACUCCUACGGGAGGCAGCAGUGGGGAAUAUUGCACGAUGGGCGAAAGCCUGAUCCAGCCAUGCCGCGUGUGUGAAGAAGGUCUUCGGAUUGUAGAGCACUUUAAGUUGGGAGGAAGGGCAGUAAGUUAAUACCUUGCUGUUUUGACGUUACCAACAGAAUAAGCACCGGCUAACUUCGUG
rnacentral:rRNA from 1 species